rnacentral:rRNA from 1 species
GACAGAGGGUGCAAACGUUGCUCGGAAUCACUGGGCGUAAAGGGUGUGUAGGCGGGACGGUAAGUCGGGCGUGAAAUCCCUAGGCUCAACCUAGGAACUGCACUCGAAACUACCAUUCUUGAGUGUCGGAGAGGAAAGCGGAAUUCCUGGUGUAGAGGUGAAAUUCGUAGAUAUCAGGAGGAACACCAGUGGCGAAGGCGGCUUUCUGGACGAUAACUGACGCUGAGGCACGAAGGUCAGGGGAGCAAACGGG